GUCAACUGCCAUACCACCCUAAACAUGCCCAGUCUUAUCUGAUCUUGGAAGCUAAGAAGGGUCAGUACUUGAAUGGGAGAAACAAUUUAGUCUCAAGAAGCUGACU
rnacentral:rRNA from 1 species